UCUGGUUUCUUCUUCCCCCUCACUCCCUUCGUAGCCAAAACAGCGGUGUCACUUCAUCACCCGAGCUGGGUGGCGCGUGGAGCACAAUUGUCAAUGGAAGGCUUGAAGGUCUCGAAAGCGAAUUUAACUGUAUACAUUCACCCUUCAAAGAGCAACCAGGUUUCCCAAGCCGUUCUCCGCGAACUCAGCUCCUUGCUUUUCACGUUCAGCGAAAUCGUCGACGGCGUCGUUUUGGCCUACGAUGUCAACUCGCUCGACACGUGCGCUAAGAUCCUCUCCGGCGUUCACCCUUACUUCGGCGUCAGACUCAAGGUCAAUUUUUUGCUCUUUUCUCCCAAGCCAAACACGCUUUUAGAAGGGAAGGUGGUUAAGCUUACGGAGGAUUCCAUUCACGUUGUUGUGCUUGGCUUUUCUGCUGCGGUUAUAGCAGAGAAAGACAUCAGGGAAGAGUUUGUGUGGAAAAUGAAAAAAGGGCAUGAGGUGUACGCAAGCAGGUCUAACAAGCGACAUGUGAUAAAGGUCGGGACCAUGAUACGGUUUUUAGUCAAGAGUUUUGAUGAAGAAAUACUUCAUGUUUAUGGAUCUCUAAUUCCUGAUCACACAGGCAGCAUUCAUUGGUUGGACAAAAACUUAGAAGUUGUUUCCCAUGCUGACAGGAGUGAAAAGAAGAAAAGAAUUCAGCCAGAACGAAUAAUGCUUGAACAAGAUGCUGUGGAUGGGGAACUGUCAACCUUGGACAUUGUCGAAAAGAGAACAAGUGCAAAAAGGCAAAAACACUUGGAGGAAUCUUGAAUGUAGAAUUGGAAUCUUAUGUUGAGUGCAUUUUAUCCACAGGUCAACCCACUUGUAACCUGGCUCAAACCUGUUUGACUCAUCUUAAAUGAGGACUGGUAACGCAAAUUGGCGUCUUAAUUACAUUGGGAUGCUUCAGCAUUUAGACUUCUGAAAGGAUUCCCGAAGUUUCCUUGGACAUAGGUGCACUUGUUUCAUUUAGGUCAUAAUUUUUGAAGAUUCUGAUGAUAAUUUACUGUAUGAUUAAGAAGUCAAAGGAAGUUUUGCAGUAUUUUUCUAUUGGUAACAUAGCUUAUUAAUUGAAUCCUAUAGGAAGUGGGACCUAUCCAUGUAUAUCACCGAGUCUCGUAAUUAGAUAGGAUGGCAUGAAUUACGUGGGAAGAAAGGUUGACUAUUUUCUUGGUUUGAUCACAUCAAUAUUAUAUGCUGAAAUUAUCCUAAGCUUUUUUUC